GACAGAGGUGGCAAGCGUUGCUCGGAUUCACUGGGCUUAAAGGGCGCGUAGGUGGUCUUGUAAGUCAAAGGUGAAAUUCCACAGCUUAACUGUGGAACUGCCUUUGAUACUGCAAGGCUUGAGUCAGGUAGAGGAGGGCGGAAUUCCCGGUGUAGCGGUGAAAUGCGUAGAUAUCGGGAGGAAGGCCGGUGGCGAAGGCGGCCCUCUGGGCCUGUACUGACACUGAGGCGCGAAAGCGUGGGGAGCAAACAGG
rnacentral:rRNA from 1 species